AAUAAGAGAGGUUCUAGAGGGAUCAAUAUAAGAUCAAUAAGGCUGGUCAUUUUACUCAUUUUAAACACAAUAUUCACCCUUUUAAUUUCAGCUUUCUCCCAUUCCUAACAAGGAUAAAAACAAUAGCCCUAAAAUUCCUUUUAGGGUUCUUGAAGAAACCCUUAUCUUUGCAAGCCAAGGAAAAUUCAAGUUCUUGAAGAGUUCAAGUUAAAAGGAUAAAUUGCAGAAGAUUAAAGUAAGGUGAAUGCUCUAUUUUGUCCUCCUUAUAUAUGAAUUUGGGAAAGAAUUAUGGAUGUGUUGUUACUGAAAACUCAACAGAUGAUGAGUUCAAUAUUUGGUUAUUGCGACAAAGGUAAAUUUUGGGCUGUUUUGUGGAUUAUUUUAUGUAUGUAUGUUGGGGGCUGCCAGGUUGAUGUUGGGGAAUGGUGUAAUUAGAUUGUAUUGAAAUAUAGAAGAAGCAUGGGGUGGUACACCACUGAGCUAAUUAUUGUAUAUAUUUAUUGCCCUUUCUAUUUGUGUAUCGUUUGGAGGGUGUAAUGAAGCCAAAGUUGUUCUGGGGUAUAUCAUAAGAAUUUGUAUGGUAUGUGGAUGUAAUUGGAGGAGAAAAGGGUUAAAAUAACACCCUUUAUUGAUAAAUUAAGGGCUUACUGCCCAACUACUGUUUUGGUGAA